GGCCUACCAUGGUGGUAACGGGUAACGGGGUGUUAGGGCACGACACCGGAGAGGGAGCCUGAGAAACGGCUACCACAUCCAAGGAAGGCAGCAGGCGCGCAAAUUACCCAAUCCCGACACGGGGAGGUAGUGACAAUAAAUAACAAUACGGGGCUCAUUUGGGUCUCGUAAUUGGAAUGAGUACAAUUUAAAUCUCUUAACGAGGAACAAUUGGAGGGCAAGUCUGGUGCCAGCAGCCGCGGUAAUUCCAGCUCCAAUAGCGUAUAUUAAAGUUGUUGCAGUUAAAAAGCUCGUAGUUGAACUUCGGGGUUCACCCAUUGGUCAGGCUUAAUUGUCUGUACUGGUGAGAUGAGUCUCUACCUUCUGAGGAACUUUCAUGCCAUUUAUUUGGUGGGGUCGGAAAUCAGGACUGUUACUUUGAAAAAAUUAGAGUGUUUAAAGCAGGCUCGCGCUUGAAUACAUUAGCAUGGAAUAAUGAAAUAGGACGUUGAUCCUAUUUUGUUGGUUUCUAGGAUUGACGUAAUGAUUAAUAGGGAUAGUUGGGGGCAUUAGUAUUCAAUUGUCAGAGGUGAAAUUCUUGGAUUUAUUGAAGACUAACUACUGCGAAAGCAUUUGCCAAGGAUGUUUUCAUUAAUCAAGAACGAAAGUUAGGGAUCGAAGACGAUCAGAUACCGUCGUAGUCUUACCAUAACUAUGCGACUAGGGAUCGGAUGAUGUUACUUUUAGGACUCGCGGCACUUAUG
rnacentral:rRNA from 1 species